UGAUACGAAGGGCACUGUCUGAGAGUUU
rnacentral:piRNA from 1 species